rnacentral:rRNA from 1 species
GUAGGGAAUCUUCCACAAUGGGCGCAAGCCUGAUGGAGCAACGCCGCGUGAAUGAUGAAGGCCUUCGGGUUGUAAAAUUCUGUCUUCUGUGAAGAACAAGUGUGAGAAGGGAAUGCUCACACCCUGACGGUAACAGAGGAGGAAGCCCCGGCUAACUACGUGCCAGCAGCCGCGGUAAUACGUAGGGGGCAAGCGUUGUCCGGAAUCACUGGGCGUAAAGCGCGCGCAGGCGGCCAUUUGCGUCCGGGGUGAAAGCCCAAGGCUCAACCUUGGGAUUGCCUUGGAUACGGGAUGGCUUGAGGAUCGGAGAGGCAAGGGGAAUUCCACGUGUAGCGGUGAAAUGCGUAGAGAUGUGGAGGAACACCUGUGGCGAAGGCGCCUUGCUGGCCGAUUUCUGACGCUGAGGCGCGAAAGCGUGGGGAGCAAACAGGAUUAGAAACCCUUGUAGUCC